rnacentral:rRNA from 1 species
UACCAGCACCCCGAGUGGUCGGGACGAUUAUUGGGCCUAAAGCAUCCGUAGCCGGUCCUACAAGUCUUCCGUUAAAUCCACCUGCUUAACAGAUGGGCUGCGGAAGAUACUAUAGGGCUAGGAGGCGGGAGAGGCAAGCGGUACUCAGUGGGUAGGGGUAAAAUCCUCUGAUCCAUUGAAGACCACCAGUGGCGAAGGCGGCUUGCCAGAACGCGCUCGGACGGUGAGGGAUGAAAGCUGGGGGAGCAACCGG